CCCCCAAAGGGUUCGCGCCCCACACGUUGAGAACGGCUGUCAUAGAACAUUCGGGCUCCAGAUUUCUCCGCCCUCCACAAAACCAUUAUCCAAAGCUACUGGUCACAUGAUCACCACCUCAAGCCCUGGAAAGUGAGCAUGCUGAAUCUGCAGGGGCGGGGCGGUGUGAGCCGGAUCAUUCACUCGAAGGAAAGCCAGCAGCCAUGUCAUGAAGACAGUUCAAGCUGCCUUAUGGAGAGGUCCAGUUGGAAAGGAACUGAGGCCUCCAACCCACAGCCAUCUGAGCCAUCCUGGCACCUGUGGGCAGCUCAGCAGCAGCUCAG